rnacentral:rRNA from 1 species
CCAAUAGCGUAUAUUAAAGUUGUUGCAGUUAAAAAGCUCGUAGUUGAAUUUCGGGAUUAGUACGCUGGUCGUGCCUUUGGUAUGUACUGGUGUUACUGAUUCCUACCUUCUGACGAACCGUCAUGUCAUUAAUUUGGUGUGGCGGGGAAUCAGGACUGUUACUUUGAAAAAAUUAGAGUGUUUAAAGCAGGCUCGCGCUUGAAUACAUUAGCAUGGAAUAUUGAAAAAGGACGUUCGAUCCUAUUUUGUUGGUUUCUAGGAUUGACGUAAUGAUUAAUAGGGAUAGUUGGGGGCAUUAGUAUUCAAUUGUCAGAGGUGAAAUUCUUGGAUUUAUUGAAGACUAACUACUGCGAAAGCAUUUGCCAAGGAUGUUUUCAUUAAUCAAGAACGAAAGUUAGGGGAUCGAAGACGAUCAGAUACCGUCGUAGUCUUAACCAUAAACUAUGCCGACUAGGGAUCGGAUGAUGUUAUUUUUAAUGACUCAUUCGGCGCCUUACG